rnacentral:tRNA from 1 species
GGGCUCGUGGUCUAAUGGCUAUGACACCGCCUUCGCAAGGCGGAGACUUCGGGUUCGAAUCCCGACGAGUCCA